UAUUAAAAAAAAAUGAAAAAGAAAUAUAAGGCUACUAGGGUUUGGUGUUUCGUACAACUGAAUGAUCCAAUCCUUAGAUCUCUUCUAAGUCUCCUCUCUACAAAUUGUCAUUGUUCUACAAAAUUUAUCAUAUUUUAUUUCAUGUUCGAUGAAGAUGAUGAAAGCUGCAACAAUUCACAGAAGAGGCGGAUUUCCAGUUUGUGCGUGAAUUUAACGCGAUGAGUACAGACUUAAUUUGGGGGAUUUUGACACGAAAUUUAGUCAACAAAUUCCCGAUUUAGAAAUUAAUUGGUGUUGUAUUAGUUCGUUAGAUUCACGCACAAACUCGAAAUCUGUCUUUUCGUUUUCGGUUUCGAUAUUACCAAUCUGUUAUAUUCUAAAUCGCGACGGCUGAGGAAGGCAAUUUCUAAUCAACCAGGGGAUAAUAUUAUUCCCUUUCUUCUACCUACAUGGGAGGAAGUGCUUCGAGUCCUACUUGUUUUCGGGGUAACUUCAUCUACACCUUCCCCUGUUGUCCAUUUCCUUGAUCUAUAUGGAUGCUUAAAUUUGAUUGACAUUUUUCGGUUCAAGAGGUUCAUUUUACACAUUCACGUAAUACGAUAUUGGAUGAUUCGACAUAUGGUAACUUCUUACUUUCAUUUAUACUGUGAGAUUUGAAUCAUGUAGAUGGAAUUUCUGACAUUGUUAACCGUUUGUUUUAGGUUUCAUGAAUGUUUAUUAACCUCUUUAUGUUUGGUACACUUCAGAAUGAAUUUCUGGUGGCAAGUUUUUCAAUAUUUCAGAAUAGCCUUUGUCGUAGUCAAGGUGAAAAGUUUUCCUCCUAAAAUAUUCACAGUUGAAGACACCUUUUUGUAGAUUGAACCGAAUGUUCAAAUGCAUUUAUAUGUUCUGCAUAUCUUCCCUGUGUUUCCUUUAUUGCCUGACUGUGAGCUCUUGAGACUCUUGGCUGUAAAUUGGGGAGGAGCUUGGAAGACUCCCUGCUACUUGAGCAACUCAGGGUCUCCUGAGGAUUGGAAAUUUGGGUAGGACGAAAACACAGGAUGGGAGACUCGGGUAGAGAAGAUGAUGGGUGAAGAAGAAGAGGAGGAUAAUAAAGGGGACCUGAAAGAUGGAAUAAGCCCACCCACACGGCCUCACCUGUCGACACUCAAUUAAGAAGGAGACUCGAAAGAAUAACUUUACGCAAGUCAAAAGUGCUUGUCAUAUUCAGCCCUUGUUUGAACCACAUUAUUUUGGGAAAAUUCAUUUUUGAAUAGUGUAUUGAUUGGAAAUGUGUGGUUAAAAAAUAAGGAAAAGUUUCGAAUUUGCGUGUAAUAUUAUUUUUUUGGAGAAUUUGUAGUUGACACGAUGUUAAAUCACUGUUUAAGAAUGUAUUUUUUUCAAAUAAUGUGGAUCAAACAGGACCUCAAUAGUGUACUCUUAUUGUGACAGUAAUAGGGCUAUAGCACAAGUGCAAGACGAAUCUUAUUCGCUAUAUAUGUACGCAACUCAUGAUGUCAUUGUUCAUAACAUCGCAUUAGCAUCUUUAUGGAUAUAUUGUAAUUUUUCA